UACGUAGGGUGCAAGCGUUGUCCGGAAUUAUUGGGCGUAAAGAGCUUGUAGGCGGUUUGUCGCGUCUGCUGUGAAAUUUCGGGGCUCAACCCCGAACUUGCAGUGGGUACGGGCAGACUAGAGUGUGGUAGGGGAGACUGGAAUUCCUGGUGUAGCGGUGAAAUGCGCAGAUAUCAGGAGGAACCCCGAUGGCGAAGGCAGGUCUCUGGCCACUACUGACGCUGAGAAGCGAAAGCAUGGGGAGCGAACAGG
rnacentral:rRNA from 1 species